AGUGAACGCUGGCGGUAGGCCUAACACAUGCAAGUCGAACGGCAGCACAGGAGAGCUUGCUCUCUGGGUGGCGAGUGGCGGACGGGUGAGGAAUACAUCGGAAUCUACUUUUUCGUGGGGGAUAACGUAGGGAAACUUACGCUAAUACCGCAUACGACCUACGGGUGAAAGCAGGGGACCUUCGGGCCUUGCGCGAUUGAAUGAGCCGAUGUCGGAUUAGCUAGUUGGCGGGGUAAAGGCCCACCAAGGCGACGAUCCGUAGCUGGUCUGAGAGUAUGUGCAGCCAGAAUGGAACAGCGACACGGUCCCCACUCCUACGGGAGGCAGCGGUGGGUAAAAUUGGACAAAUGGCGCAAGCCUGAUCCAGCCUUACCGCGUGGGUGAAGAAGGCCUUCGGGUUGUAAAGCCCUUUUGUUGGGAAAGAAAUCCAGCUGGCUAAUACCCGGUUGGGAUGACGUUACGCACAGAAUAAGCACCGGCUAACUUCGUGCCAGCCGCCGCCGUAA
rnacentral:rRNA from 1 species